rnacentral:lncRNA from 1 species
CCAAACAAAAAAAGUUAUUCAAGUAAUUAUCAUACACAUAACAAGGACUAAAACAAGAGGAAAUAAACACAAAUAUUCACAUGAAACAUUAUAAAAGAGGAAAAGUUUGGAAUCAGACCUCAAUAAUAUUAACAAAAACUUAGUUACAGUAAAUUCCGGUGGACUAAAUCUGACUGGAAAAAUGAGACGAUAGCAGAAGCCUGGACCGCAGACCCCGUCAGCAACCUCGAAAUCAAAACGAAAUCAACCUCGGAUCAAAUCGGAGCCCUCUGAAUCAGUGGUCUUCGACUGAUUUUCGCGAGUUUGAUGGGAUUUUGGACUAACUAGCGACUGUUUUGGAGAAUUGUUGCCGAAUUUCCGGCGAGCUGGGCUGGGUCCGAUGAGAGACGGAGACGGGGGCUGCUGUGUAUGCCUGGUCGUCAGGGUUAUAGUGAGGAAGACGAGUUGGAUCUCUCUUAGGGUUCUUUUGUUUUCUGAUUUUUGGAAAGAUGGAGAAGAAAGGUCUAAGGCUUCUUCCAUUCUCUAGGGGUCUUCAACGUUUUUCAUUUUGUUUUUAGGAAGAAGGAGAAUGUUCAGACGGUCGGAUUUUUGAUGGAGCGGCGGAUCCCCUAUAUUAUAGAGUCUAGGGUCUAUUUAUUUGUUCUCCUUUUUUUUGUAUAGUGUAGGGAUAUAGGUUAGGGUUUUUUAGGUUAAGGGGUAUGGGCCUAGGAAUUAUGGGCUAGGUCCAAAAAUUAGGCCUAAAAAUAGGACGUUUGAGCCUGAAUUUUAUUCUUUCCCCGCGAACGAGACUAAAAUACGAUCUCAUUUAUUUAGUCAUACUUAAGUAAAAUAACUAUUAAAAUAAGACUGAUCAUUAAAACAAAACUAUUUUUGGUAUUUUUCAAGAUUAAAAAUGACUACAAAACAUUAAUGAAAUUAUUUUUUUGUAAUUUUUAUUUUCUUGUAAUAAAAUAAAGUAAAAGAGUCAAAAUUAGUUGAGAUUGCGAUAUUAGGCCUAAAUUAAAUAUUUACGUGCUAAAAUAUGAAAAAUCUUGGGGAGGAUCAAAAAUCACAUGUCUACAGCUGGCCCUCUUUGACUGGAAAUACGAAGUAUUUUUAGACAAAGAAUGACUAGCAGAUUUUUUGACCCGACCCUUAUUUAGGGAGUCCAAAACUAAGAGAAAGGGGAAUGUACCGAGCCCUGGUAUCUGAGCUGCCUACAUAUCCUAGGCUAUAAAGGAAUCAGGCCACGUGUAGUUCAUAAGUAGAAACAGUGAUGGAGUAUACUGAGGUGGAGAGCCGGUCGAGGUGCCGUUCCGCCGAGGUUUUGGUCCGCGACCCUGUUAUUACAUCAAAAAUGAAAAAGACUAGCUAAACCUGUCAACUACGAGUUACAAGAUUCCUAUAUAUAAGUCUUCUGAAGCUUGAUCUUGAGUCUUGAAUGGUUCUUCAUGCACACUUUGGAUUUGAAACUUGAUGCUUGCUAGUUGCAGGUGCUAGUUCAUUCUUCUUCAGUUUUUCGGAUCAAAACUGGACAUACCAUGCUUGUGACUUCAGUCAUGUCGUGAGCAACCCACAUCUUUCAUCAACUUCUGCAUUUGGAUUCACUUCUUGCCUUUCUCUUUUUUUAUUCUGGAUUGUGACUAACUUCCUUUGAUCAUCUCGAACUGUUGACUCACAUUCUUGCUGCGAGUUUCUUUUGUUGCUGACUUGAAUUACAUUCUGAAGUGAACUCCCUUAUUCUCCAGGUAGGAGCCUGAUUGCUAAUACUCGAACGGUCUUCCUUCGAAACUUGGACUGUAUUCUCCUUGUUCUCCAGGUGGGCGCCUGAUUGCCAAUACUUGCACUAUUUUUCCUCGAAACUUGAACUGUUUUCCCUUCUUCUCCAGGUGGGCACCUGAUUGCUGAACUUAAACCGUCUUCCUUUGAACAUUGUUGCUUUCCCUUUGUUCUUCAGGUGGGCGCCUGAUUACCAACAUUUGAAUUAUAUUCCUUCCCUCUGAAACUUGAAUUGUUUCCCUUUGUUUUUCAGGUGGGUGCCUGAUUGCUGAACUUGAAUCGUCUUCCUUUAAACAUUGUUGCUUUCCCUUUGUUCUCCAGGUGGGCGCCUGAUUACCAACAUUUUAAUUGUCUUCCUUUCCUCUGAAACUUGAAUUGUUUUCCCUUUGUUUUCCAGGUGGGUGCCUGAUUGCUGAACUUGAACCGUCUUCCUUUGAACAUUGCUGCUUUCCCUUUGUUCUCCAGGUAGGCACCUGAUUACCAACAUUUGAAUUUUUUUCCUUUCCUCCAAAACUUGAAUUGCUUUCCCUUUGAUCUCUAGGUGGGCGCCUGAUUACCAACACUUGAAUUGCUUUUUCUUUGUUCUCCAGGUGGGCUCCUGAUUACCAACACUUGAAUUGAUUUCCCUUUGUCCUCCAAGUGGGUGCCUGAUUGCUGAACUUGACCCGUCUCCUCUUGUUACUUGAAAUUGUUUUCCCUUGAAGCUUGAACCAUUUUCCCAUUUUCUCCAGGUGGGCGCCUGAUUGCUAAACGUGACCCGCUUUCCUUUGAACUUGUGUCGUCUUCCCUCCAGGUGGGCGACUGAUUGCUUGACCCUGAACUGCUUUCUCUUGAGACUGCUUUUUCUUUGAACUGUCUUUCCUUUGAACUAUCUUCCCUUGUUUCUCUAGGUGGGUGCCAGAUUAAAACAAAACAGACAAAACAAAAGAAACCUUUCUGCCCUAGUUUGGUAGCUGGGCACAUCUGUGAGUGUUAAUUAAAUCAUGUUACCCAAUAUCUCUAAGAAUUUAAAAGCUAGAUCCUAUUAUCCAGGAGUGUCCUAAAAAUUAAAAUCAAAUCUCAUCUUACGAGUGACAAUUUUAAGGCUAAAUUAUAUUUCCCUACGACAGGAUUUAUGCUAAAUCUCAUCUUCUAAUGGAGGUCUUUAACUAAGUCCUAUUAUUCAGGAUGGUCCCGAAAAAUUCAAAUUGAAUCUCAUCCUAAGCAUGAAAACUUCAAAGCCAACUUAUAUUUUCUCAAGGUAGAGCCUAUACUAGAUCUUGUUACUCAUGAAUGUUUUUAAUUUUAAAUAAGUCCCAUUGUCCAGGAGGGUCCUGAGAUUUUCAAAUUAAAUCCCAUUAUCCAGGCGGGUCCUGAGAAUUUAUGGUUGAACUUGUCCGGUACUUACUUUCCUUAUAGAGGGUUUCUCCGAAACAAACGAAAUUUUCCGCCCCUGUUUCAAUCAAAGAAAAUCUUGUCAGUUUAAAAAUGUGGUGGUUAGUUUGUGGCAUUCUUGCUGAAGGUGGCCCUUUCACUGCCGUGCUUCGCUUCGACUGUCCGCCUUGAACUGGCCAAGAAUUGUUCGCCUUUCUAACUGAAUUUCAACAACAAGACCCUGAAUGACCCGAAUGUUCUACACUCAACCCGUCAUUUUACAUUUAUGUCCUUCCCAUUUUAACCUCUGUAUCUUCCACAAAAUUCACAAACCAUUCGUUCGUUUGAACUUUCAUUAACACCUUAUUCUAUCAACUUUUGCAUCAUGCUAUUUCUGGUAUGCUUUGGCCGCACUUUGCUUUGCAAUUUGGAAGUUGGUAGUAAGCUUUGAAAUCAUUUCUUUCUUGCUUAAACAAGGCUGACAUUGGAAAAACCAUAGAAAAAUAAACCUAAAAGAAAUAAAAUGCAAUUACUUCGAAAGUUAGGAAUAAAGAAGAAAAUCCAAAACUGGAUGACUGUUUGGGGGGAGGGGGAGGGGGAGGGAAGAGACUUAUCUGAAUGGAGAAGCUGGUACCAAUUAUCAUGACAUGCAUUUCAGAUUAAUCAGCCCAACCUAUUAAACCAAUCACCUUUCAAUUGUCAUACUCUAUGCCCCAAGAUUUCCAUAACCCAAUUUCUUUGCCAAAUCACUGACCUUGUUCGGCUUGCGGUGCCUUGAAUGGUUUUCACCCGCAAAUCUUUCUCAUUUAUUUAUCUAACAACUCACCAUCGCCUUACGGUGCCCGUGAGGGUUUUCACUAGUAAGACUCUCUCAUUUUAAUUUCUCUCAGCUUUUCAUCGCCUUACGGUGCCCGUGAAGGUUUUCACCAAUAAGACUCUCUCAUUUUUUCAUUUUUCCUGCUCAAAACGGAGUGUUGCCCCUGAUACGAAUCACACCUUUACUUGCUCGACUUAGCAUCUCUCGACGACUGAUCGGAAGGUCUUUCUUUGCACCGUAAUGUAGGUUUUUAGAUAGGGUUAGAAAGAAAGGGUAUCACAAAGGCUCAAAAACAACUUGAAUGGGUUCAAAAUUACAACUCUUGGAAUCAAAUUUCUUACAACAACCACAACUUUCUGCCCCAAUUUCUUUGCUUGGGGACUUUUGAAUUUUUAUUUUGAUGGGACCGAACUGUGAGGCUGCCUACGUAUCCUUAAAAGGAAUCAGGUCCAAUGUAGUUCAUGAAUAGGAAUUGCUUUGUUUUGGCCCUUUUCUCUUUUCUCUUUCUUUCUCUCUUUUCUUUUCUUCUCUUUUUUUCCUUUUCUUCUUUUGUUUACUCUUUUUAAAUCCUUCCUUUCUCUUUUUCUCUUAUCUUUUCCUCUUUUACUUCUUUAUUUACCUUUUGUAUCCAUGUUUCUGAACUUUGCUACUGAUUCCAAAAGAGGGGUAUGAAAGAAAAUAAAUAAGGCUCAAAGGGGUAACAAAGGAUAAAGUGUUUAGAUAGCAGAAUAAAAUGCCUUCGUCGUUCCAAUCUUUAAAACAUGCCAAGUACAAACAAAUAUAAUUUAAACCACAUAAAUCAUACAUAAUAUCUUUUGACUGCCUCAUAAUUGAUAUCCAUAUCUACACAUUUGCCUUCUACAUCUAUUAAAUACAAAGCACAAUUGGACAACACACUCGUUACGAUGAACGACCCUUGCCAAUUUGGAGCGAACUUGUCUUCGCUUCAUCCUGGUGUGGAAGGAUGCAUUUCAAUACUUGCUGACCCACUUCAAAUUUCCGGACACACCUUCUUGUUGUAUGCUCUUGCCAUUCUCUUUUGAUGCAACUGUCUAUGACACAUUGCUGCCAAUCUCUUCUCAUCAUUCAAACUCAAUUGUUCUAGAAGGGUCUUGACCCACUCAUCAUCAUCAAUCUCGGCUUCAACAAAAAUCCGAAAGGAUGGGAUUUCAACUUCUGCGGGUAUCUCUGCCUCAAUGCCAUAUACCAACAAAUAAGGAGUUGUACCUGCUAAAGUACAAACAGUAGUGCGAUAACCCAGCAAAGCACAAGACAACUUCUCAUGCCAUUGCCUGGACCCUUGUACCAUUUUCUGAAGUAUCUUCUUUAUAUUCUUAUUGGCUGCCUCAACUGCUCCAUUCGCCUUGGGGCGGUAUGGGGUGGAAUUUCGAUGUGUAAUCUUAAACUUUUGACACACUUCUUCCAUCAGAUGACUAUUAAGAUUAGCACCAUUUUCUGUGAUGACCACCUUUGGGAUCCCAAAAUGACAAAUGAUAUUUGAAUGAACAAAAUCGACCAUUGUCUUGUUGGUAACAGAUUUGAAAGUCUUAGCUUCAACCGACUUAGUGAAAUAGUCAAUGGCCACCAGAUUGAACCUGUGUCCAUUAGAUGUUGUUGUCUCAAUUGGUCCGAUGACAUCCAUAACACUUGUGCACAAAACUAAUGCAAUCUCGCUCCAUGGUGAGCCAAUAAUAACCUGCUCGAAGAAUUUUCUUAGCCAGAACAUACCCACUCAUAUGCGGUCCAUAGACUCCGGAAUGCACUUCGGUCAUGAUGACCGUGGCUUGUCUAGUAUCCAUGUAUCUUAACAAUCCAAGAUCUGGAGUUCUUUUGUACAAAACUCCCCCACUAAUGAAAAAUCCACUUAUCAAUCGAUGAAUUGUUCUCUUUUGAUCCCCCGUGGCCUGUACCAGAUAUAGUCCCAUCCUGAUAUACUCCCUGAUGUCAUGGAACCAUGGUUCACCAUCGAGUUCUUCCUUAACCACAUUACAAUAGGCGUACUGAUCGUGAACUUGAAUCUACAGAGGGUAAAUAUAAGCUUUGUCCGGAUGAUGCAACAUUGACGCCAAGGUAGCCAAAGCAUCGACAACCUCAUUAAGUAUCCUUAGAAUGUGCCUAAAUUCUAUAUAUCAAAACCGUUGACAAAGAUCAUGCAGACAUUGCCGAUACAAUAUGAGCUUUAAAUCUCGUGUCUCCCAUUCUCCGUGAAUCUGGUGUACCAGAAGGUCCGCGUCUCCCAAGACCAAGACUUCCUGGAUUCCCAUAUCUACAGCUAGCCUUAAAUCCAAAAUGCAUACCUUGUACUCAGACAUGUUGUUGGUACAACAAAAACAAAGCUAAGCCGUAACAGGGUAGUGAUUCCCUAUUUAGAAAUGAGUACAACUCCUAUCCCAACACCUUUCAUGUUAGCAGCCCCAUCAAAGAAAAAUUUCCAACCAGGAUUUUCCUCCUUCUUUCCCUUGUCAAUGUGCAUUACCUCUUCAUCAGGAAAAUAAGUCUUCAAAGGUUCAUAUUCUUUUUCCACUGGGUUCUCAGCCAAGUGAUCGGCCAAAGCUUAGGCUUUCAUCGUCGUCCGAGUCACAUAUACGAUGUCAAACUCUGUGAGCAAGAUCUGCCACUUUGCGAGCCUUCCUGUAGGCAUGGGCUUCUAAAAGAUAUACUUCAAAGGAUCCAGGCGAGAGAUGAGGUAAGUAGUGUAAGAUGACAAAUAAUACUUCAACUUCUGUGCUACCCAAGUCAGGGCGCAACAUAUCCUUUCAAGUGGAGUAUGCUUAACCUCAUAAGAUAUGAACUUCUUGCUGAGAUAGUAGAUGGCUUGCUCUUAACUGCCAGUGAUGUCAUGCUGACCCAACACACAACCAAAUGAGUUAUCCAAGACUAUCAAAUAAAGAAUCAAAGGUUUUCCAGGUUUCGGUGGGACCAACAUAGGUGGAUUUGACAAGUACCCCUUUAUCUUAUCAAAUGCUUCCUGACACUCAUCAGUCCACUUGACCGCAACAUCCUUUUUCAGCAACUUAAAGAUAGGCACACAAGUUGUCGUGAGUUGAGCAAUAAACCUGCUGAUGUAGUUCAAUCGCCCGAGCAAGCUCAUCAUCUCCGUCUUGUUCCUUGGAGGUGGCAAUUUUUGGAUAGCUUUGAUAUUUGAUGGAUCCAACUCAAUGCCUUGACGACUGACUAUGACACCCAACAGUUUUCCGGAUGGAAUACCAAAUGCACACUUUUGCAGGGUUGAACUUAAGAUUGUACCUAUGGAGCCUUUGGAUGAACUUUCUCAAAUCUCUAACAUGGUCAGACUGCUUUCUGGACUUUAUGAUCACAUUAUCCAUGUAAACCUCGUUCUCAGAACUUUCUCAAAUCCCCAACAUUUUUCAAACCAAAAGGCAUGACCCUGUAGCAAUAUGUUCCCCAUGGCAUGAUGAAUGCCAUUUGUUCCACAUCUUCCUCAUCCAUUAAAAUCUGAUGAUAGCCCGCAUAGCAAUCCACAAAAGACCCAAUCUCAUGCUCGACACAAUUAUAAAUCAAAAUAUGGAUAUUUGGAAAUAGGAAGUUGUCCUUUGGACUUUCCUUGUUGAGAUCACGGUAAUCAACACACACUUUGGUCUUACCAUCCUUUUUUGGCAAAGGCACAACGUAGGCUAACCACGUGGGAUACCACGUAACUCGAAUGACCUUUGCAUCAAGCUGUUUUGUGACUUCUUCUUUAAUCUUAACACUCAUAUCAAUUUUGAACUUUCUCAACUUCUGCUUAACGGGAAGGAAUGAUGGAUCAAUUGGCAAUUUGUGGACCACCAAAUCGGUACUCAAGCCUGGCAUGUCAUCAUAUGACCAUGCAAAAAUAUACUUAUACUCAAACAAUACUUUAAUUAUUUCUUCCCUGAUUUACGGUUCAAGAUGGACACUUAUCUUAGUUUCUCUGACAUUAUCUGGGUCCUCUAGAUUGAUUGAUUCCAUUUUAUUCAGAUUAGGCUUGGUUUUUUCUUCAAAAUGACUUUGUUAUUUACUAAUCUCUUCAAAGGCCUCAUCCUCAUCAUUUUCUGAUUCAUCAUCACACUCUAUUUCUUGGAUUACUAUUUUCGAAGUAGAUUGACUUUUAAGACUAGGACGAAGAUUCCUCAUGCAUGCCAUGUCAUUGAAACCAACAUAAAAGGAAUUGUACAAAGAAGAAUAGAAAAACAAAAAUAAAACUAUCAGGAAUGAUAAAAAAGGUAAAUUGCAUUUCAUUGAAAAUAAAGGAUAACAGGGUCUGUACAUCAACAAGCGAAAAAUAAAAGUCUAGGUCACAACCCUGGAAUGACCCAGAUAGAAAGGAAAACAAAACAAACUACCAAGACUCCUUCUGGGUAGUGAGAGGAGUAGCCUUCCAAUUGUUAAGCUUUGCAUUCGGCCCGACGAACUGCACGUCUGCUUUGCUAGAUCCUUUCCAACUUCUACCAUGUUCACAUCAUCAAACAACCUCUGGAACCUUUCAAUUAACUCAUCAUCAAUGCCAACCAAAGAACUCGGAAUUAUUGUCACUGGGCGUUUCCUGGCACCGGGUUUGACAAAAGACUUGGAGAGACGCGGAAUAGGUUUCGGAUGUGUCCACACCUUCAGUUUAAAACUUUUAGCCCUCUUCACAUCUGUCGCUGUAGGUUUGAAUCCAAGACCUAACAUACCCAAAUUUUCAUGGAGGGACACUGGCUGUAUGAUACCCUGCAGAGAUGCACCCAGACCUUUACCAGGCAUAAAGCUAUUUUUCAGCAUUUCAACGGCCACCAUGACUGAUGCGGAGGCUAUCUUUGGAGUUGGAACACAUUUCCCUUCUAGAAUUUCUCGACCAGCACUAUUUCAAAAACUUGAUAGACCCAAGGCCCUUUGUCAUCUUCAGCCUCAAUGAACGCGACAGAGGCAUCAAUGUGAGCACACAAAUUAUCCUCGCCAUGCACGACGAUCUCCUGUCUAUCCCAUUCGAACUUGACCAUCUGAUACAAAGUGGAUGGUACUGCUUUGGCGGAAUGAAUACAAGGUCGACCUAACAAAAAAUUGUAGGAGACGGCCACGUCCAGUACGUGGAACUCCAUGGUAAAUUCCACCGGUCCUAUUAUCAACUCAAGCACUAUAUCACUAACUGAAUCUUUCCCUCCACCAUCAAAACCUCGAACACAAAUGAUGUUCUUGUGAAUCCUCUCAUCAUCAACUUUCAACUUGUUUAAAGUAGAGAAAGGACCAAUGUUUGCACUGGAACCAUUAUCGACUAACACCCUGGUGACCAUAGAAUCUUCAUAUUUUACCGUAAGGUAGAGAGAUUUAUUGUGUGCAGUACCUUCCAUCGGCAACUCAUCAUCAAAGAAGGUGACCCUGUUCACCUCAAAUAUUUUGUCGUUCACUAAAAUUUUGUCGGGGACAUGAGCUUCAUUCAAAAUUUUCAUCAAGGCCCGAUGAUGCUUGUAUGAGUGGAUAAACAAUGAUAGCAAGGAUAUCUGAGCAGGCGUCUUUUUCAACUGCUCCACAAUGGAAUAAUCUUGUACCUUCAUUUUUCUCAAAAACUCCUCCGCCUCUUCUUCAGUGACUGCUUUCUUUACUAGAACUGGAUUAUCUCUGGAUGUUUUAGCUUUUCUUAACUCCUCUGGGGCAAAGCAACUCCCCGAACGAGUUAAUCCCUGGGCCUCGUUGACUUUUUCGUUCACUUCCUUUCCAUUAUAGGUCACUAUCACCCGUUCAUAGUUCUAUGGGAUAGCCUUGGUGCUGAUUACCGGCAACUGGGUUACAAGCUUGAUGAUGACAAGAUCGGUACAGGCACCCUCUACAAUUAUGAUCGACUUGUUUGCCACUCCUAGCACAACCACUUUUGACUUUUCUUGCUUUGCCGCAAUAUCACUUGGGGAUCCUUUCUUGAAUACCAUAGAUAGUUCAUCAUUUGUCCUGUUCAACUUGUUCACUGAUCCUUAAACUGUUGGUUUUUUAACUGGCUUGACCUUACUGGACCGAAUCAUCAUGACGGUCUGUGAAGUCUUCUUGGGCUCCCCUAUCUUAUGUACAAUCUCAAUCAUAUUUGUUUCCUCAUGGGUUGGCAAUGGGUUCUGGUUGAUGUUGGGUGCCUCUAGAGUCUGGACAUCAAUCUGGUUUGUGUCAAUGAGCUCCUGGAUGGCAUUUUUCAAGUGCCAGCACUUCUCCGUAUCAUGCCCCGGAGUUCUAGAACAAUAUUCACAUCUCAAGGAGUAAUCAAUAUUCUUUAGAGGAUGGUUGGGCAAUUUCGACUCAAUUGGCCUCAGCAUAUCCAACUACCUCAAUCUGUGGAAUAAAUUAGUAUAUGACUCCCCCAACGGGGUGAAAGUUUUCUUCUGCUGUGACCUCUCAUUUUUGAAUGCUGGAUUGAGUCGAAAACCUAGUCCAAUAGGGUUUCAGUAGGCUCAUGGGGGUGGGUAAGCAUUUUGUGGAGCUGGGUAGGUGUUUUAUGGGGCUGGGGCACGCCAUUGUGCAUAGGCAAGAGGUUGAGUAUAUGUCUGAGCGUGGUGGACAGAAACAUGAGGGUCUUGUAAUGGGAAGUAGUGUUAGGGUGGAUUAUGUGGGGAUUGGGUGUAGGUUCGGUGAUGGGGUCAAGGCUGGGUAUAGUGGUGUGAUGGGACCCUUGGUCCAAACGAUGAUCAUGAAUCAACUGUUGCCACAUCUUCUUUCUUCUUCUUUCCUAUAAAUUCUCCAGUACCGUUCUGAAUGGCUUGGGUAGUUUCUUUGAUAGCCAAGUAGCUCAUAAUUUUGCUUGACUUAAGCCCUUCUUCCACCAUGCCACCCAUCUUCACUACCUCGUUGAAAGACUUUCCUAUGGCCGAUAUCAGGUGGCCAAAGUAAGUAGGCUCCAGAGCCUGCAGAAAGUACUCCACCAUUUCGCUUUCCUCCAUCGGGGGGUUAACUCUCGCGGCUUGUUCUCUCCAGCGAAAACCAUAUUCCCUGAAACUUUCACUAGGAUUCUUCUCAAUCUUAGUCAGAGACAAACGAUCCGGGACAAUCUCGAUAUUGUAUUGGAAAUGAUGAGCGAAUGCUUGGGCAAAAUCAUCCCGGGUAUACCAUCUGCUAUGAUCCUGACGAGUGUACAACUCCAAUGUCGUGCCACUUAGACUCUAGCUAAAGUACGCCAUCAAUAGCUCAUUUUUCCCGCAAGCUCUUCUCAUUUUACUGCAAAAUCCCCUCAAAUGGGCCACCGGGUCUCCGUGCCCAUCAUACAAAUCAAACUUCGGCAUCUUAAACCCCACAGGCAACUAAACAUCGGGGAAUAGACAUAAAUCUUUGUAGGCUACGCUCACCUGGACUCCCAAUCCCUACAUGUUUCUGAACGACUAUUUCAGGCUUCUUACCUUCCUGAACAUCUCCUCCUGCUCUAGAUUUUUAGGUGGUUUCUCAGUCUCAACUGGGAGGUCGAAACGAGGAGUGUAGGAGUAAUGUUCUUGAGCUUUGAAAGUAGGCUCUGAUGGAUAGUAUUGGUUAUCUUGGGUCUGGAAUAAGGGCUCACUGGAGGAUCGAUGGAGUGUAGCGGGUGAGGGUGCCACAAAAAUAGGGGUGGCUGGUGGAGGGGGUAUGGGAUUGGUUUGGGUGGUGGUGCUUGUGGGGUUUAGGAAGUGGUGCCUUGGUAGUGGUGGUAAAUGAGGAAGCUUGGAGAUGAAUCAACAGUGAGAGGUUCUUGGGAUUGAGCUAGCAGCGGGACGAAAGAAGGAUUGGCGGGGUAUGAUGGUGGUAGAUUCCCUUUCACCCAUGCUUGGUACAUCUCUGCUAUCUGGUGUUUCAACUUAUAUAACUCCUCUUUCAGAUUAACAUCGGACUCUUCCCCCUCUCUUGACGGAUCAAUAACAAUUGCAUCCAGUUCUUGGUUAACCAUGCUCAACUUGUCUUUGGACCUAAUGUUGUACGGUUGAGUUGCUAGAAUGCCAAACAAACUAACCACCUUCAUGUACUUUAUGACAACAAGCAAACUCGUUCGCGAUUAGAGCUUAACAGAUAGGCAACCGCAGUUUGGGGAAUGCAAUGCACCUAAGCAGUUAAUCAUUUCUAUUAUGCAUUUGAACAGCUGCUUGCGUCAUUCCGGCUUUCAUUAGUUUCAAUUUUGCAAUUUCUUUCUCUCUUUUUUUCAUUCCUGUUUUUCCUUGCCCGACUCUUGUUUUUAUCCUUUAUUUUCUUAUUUUCCUUUCUUGUUUUACCAUUAUUUCUUUCCCACAGCUUUUCUUGUUUUUCUUUCUCUUUUCUUUUCUCUCUUUUUUUCUUUUCAUUUUAAGGUUUUGAUCGAAUCCUAUGGGGAUUGCCUACAUAUCAUGAAGCCGCAUGAAUCAGACCAAGCGUAGUUCUGGGAAUAUGUGUGAAAUAAAUAACAAAAUAAAAAAAACAUUUUUUGGGGGUUUUCAAAUUUCAUGAAACAAAAUAAAAUACAAUAUCUUGAUUAUGACAACUUCUCCUACAGAUUUAAACAUAAAGACUAUCAGACUCGAUGAGUGGACCGACAACUUCAAAAGAAAACUAAAAAUACAUACUUGAAAUGAACUAACAAACUACCGAUAAAGACUCUAAAAUAAACUAAAACACAGACUCGAACAAACAAAGUCAAGAAUACAUAAGUGCUUCAACUGCUGCUCCAGUUGGCCUUGCUGCGGUCCUCUGAGCAAUGUCUUCUUGGAGGCGAAACAAGUCAUCCAUAAUCUAUCGGAUGAAAAUCAUAACUGAAGCAAAGAACAUGGACCUGGUCAUGUCUUCACACUCGUUGUAUUUCAUCACAAUGUAGUCCGCAAUUCUCCUAACCCUUUCCUUGAUAAUACCCUUCUCCUGUAGCAAUUAUCCGAUCUGCUAAGAUCUGGCACCCAAAACUUGUUCGGCUGCAUGGAUUUGCUCUUGAAGCUAUUGAAGGUCUUUCUCUAGCUAUGCCAUUAGGGCAUAACAGUGCUCCCUUUCUGCUUUAAAAUCUCUCACCUGCUUGGCCAUUUCAUUUUCAAGGACAUUGACCUUUUUCUUUAUAUUCACCAUUCCCUUGUCAUACUUCACCUUAAGUUGCCGAAAGAAACUAGUCCGCCCCUCUGCAUUCUUAGCUAACUUGGCCCGAGCAUUUGCUAGCUCUGCUUCGGUCUUUUGCAAAUCAUCAUCAAAAUCACGCACUUUUUGGGUAAGGCUGUAGAUGAGCUUUUCGUAUUUUUUGAUCCUGCUUGGGUUCUCAAUUGCUAUUCUUAUUUUUCAAACUUGGGCUCAGAGAGCUUCAUUCUCUUGGGCCAAUUUUCUUCUUUCACCUUCGGCUUUUUGUGCUUGAAGAUCAUUGUUGAAUUCCAUGUUUCUCAGCUUCUCUUUUAAGGCGUAAAUCUCAACUUGAUAUUUCUUAUCCUUCCCCCCCCCCAUGCCAACCUUUCUUGGAUUUUGUCGUCAAAAGCUUGAACAUGAGGUCUCUUGGCAGGCCUCUCGGGCUCGGGCCUGGGCUCAGGCUUUGGCUCGUUGUUUACACAAGACCUUUUUUCAAAUCAGGCAGCAUAAUUUGGAUCCACUUCCCCAUUUGCAACAUAUGGUACCUGGGUGCCAUUUUUCAGAUACCGACAGCCAUUCCAAUCUUGCUGAACUAAAGCCUUGGGCCAUGCAGCUUCUGGAUGCAACUCUAUGACCUGGGUGGUCAGAUCUGCAUCGUCAGUCAUAUAUAUGGCUUCUGUCAUCGGGAGCCAUCCUAUAGUUCACUCAACCUGACUUGCUUUGAGAGCAUUCAAGUGGGAGACCCGUGCUUCAAACCCUUCUGGCAUGUUGUAGUCCUUUACCCUUUCCUCGUAACUGGUAAUGAAGUUAUCCGGGAUCGAACCAUAACUCAUGAAUCUGGGAUGAUGGCGAAGAUGUUCUAUCAACCAAAUUUGUAGAUGGAUAUUGCAACCUUCAAAGAAUUGAACCUUAGCUUUGCAUAAUGUCAAUGCUCGAUAAAUAUUAGUCAGCACUAACUGAACAAGUGUAUGAUCUUCCUUGGUAGUGAGGAUUUGUGCAAUUCUAACCAUACGAGUAUCCACUCUCCCUUUCUCAUUUGUAAAAACCAUGAUCCCUAAUAACUCCACAAUAAAAGCGAACCGGCGAUGAAUUUGCCAAAGACCCUUAUCUUGUUUGUUGCUCAAACCCUUUUCAUGCAUUUCGAACCCAGCUGAGUACCCGAACCUGAAGUACAAGAAAUGGAAAGAACAACACCCUUUGCUUACAUGGGCCUUCUUCAUUUGUUUACUGAUAUUCAAGAGGUCAAAGAAUUUGUGCACCAAAGGAGCCCACGGAAAUAUAAGUUACUGCUUCCUCAAAUCCCGGCCAAACUCAAUGUACCCGGCCAUUUUCUCCAAAGUAGGGGUGAUCUCAAAAUCCAAGAAAUGAAAAACAUUAUGGACAACGUCCCAAAAAGUUACCAAAGCACUGAUUAAAUAUUCCUAUGGUUUGAUUUCCAAAAUGUUUAUAAGGGCUCCCAACUAUUUUUUUGCUCACUUCUGACCAUCUUCAUCUAGAUCAUUCCACCACACACGCAACUGUGACUGAGCCUAUUUUUUGACCACUUCUGACGAGUCCUAGGUGUGUUCAUUUGUGAUGGGUCCUGAAUAUUGUUCAUUUGUACCUAUGGAGGGUUAAGGUUAGGGUUGACUCAAGUAAACCCUUUUUGUAAAACAGGUUUUCCAAUUUCUACAAGAAAAAUCAAUGAACCAUGAUUCCUUCCCCUAUAUGCUAAAUUUAGCAAAAAUGACCGUUUUGCAAACGUGUCCCCUUCCCAAUUCCAAAUAAAUUUUGAGGCCGUGGAGGACUACUUUACGGGAAAAAUGACACUUCACCAAUAGACUUGUCCGUUCUUUUACAAAAAUAGCCCUUUGACAACUAAAGACACUCUAAGUGUGACGACCCGACUAGUUGUCAUAAGAAGUAACGCCCUAAUCCCCUAUUAACUACUUUCCCCAAGUUUAUUUCUGCUAAUCUGAUUUGUUGAGAUGUUUGAUUUUGGGUUUUGGGGAGUUUUGGGACAUUUAGUCCCUAAAAGAGAGCUUAAGUGUUGGAAAGUUGACCGUAGUCGGAACAGUGUGAAGACGGCCACAAAAUGGAAAUUCGAUGGUUCCGCUAGCUUCGUUGAGUAUUUUGGGGUUAGGAGCAUAAUCGGAUUGUGUUUUGGAGAUCGGUAGCUAAUUUAGGCUUGAAAUGCCGAAGGUUGAAUUUUUGAAGUUUUCGGUUAGAUAGCGAGAUUUUUAUCUGAGGGUCAGAAUGGAAUUACGAGAGUUGUAGUAGUUCUAUUGUGUCAUUUGGGAUGUGUGUGAAAAUUUUUAGGUCAUUCGGACGUGGUUUGGUUGGGUUUUUCAUCAAACGUGGAAUUCGGAUUAGAAACUUAGGCUUGAAUCCAAUGUGUUUUUGAUUGUUUUGAUGUUGUUUGAGGUGUUUUGAAGAUUGGUAUAAGUUUGAAUAAGGUUUUAGGAUAUGUUGAUGCAUUUGGUUGAGGUUCUGGGUGGCUCGGGGUGAUUUUGGAUGGAUAACGAGAAGUUGAGGAAAUGUUGUAGUUGUUGUGUUUUUGUUGCUUUUGGAAUUUUUGCAUCUGCGGGUUGGGGACCACAGAUGCGGCCGCAGAACGGGCUAAGGAGAUUGCAGAAGCGAAUUUUGGUCCUUUCUUCAGGUUCAGUUGAUGCAGAAGGAAUACCGCAGAAGCGGAAGGGUGAUCACAGAUGCGACGUAGUUUCCGCAAAAGCAGGACCGCAGAUGCGGUCCCAGGGUCGAAAAUGCGGAAAUCGCUGGGCAGAACAUAUAAAUAGUUGCCUUCGCGAAUUUGAGCUACUCUUUCACCAUUUUCAUUCGGGUUUGAAGCUUUUCAGAGAUUUUUUUGAGGAAAACAAACGGGAAUCACUUGGAGGUAACGUCCUUGACUUCAUAACUCGUUUUAAUGUGAUUAAAGACUUAAUUAGUGGUGAAAACUUUGGGAAAAUGGGUAAUUAGGGCUUGAGUUUAAGAGACCUUUAAAUGAGGAUAUAAGGGGUCAUUUGGACUCCGAUUUCAGUGUUCUUAUUAUGCAUAGACUCGUGAGAGUACGAGGUUCUUGAAAAUGUAAAUUUUAUCCGAUUCUGAGAUGUGGGCCCGAGGGGCGUUUUGGUCAUUUUACAUAAUUUUGCAUAUUAGUUGAGAAUUUAAUUGUAGAAUCAGUUAUUUGAAGUGUUAUAUACAUUAUACGAUUGAAUUGAUUAGAUUUUGGCCAUUUGGAGUCUAGUAUUCAUGGCAAAAAUGUGGUGUUGUGUUGAUUUUGAGCCGGUUCGAGGUAAGUGACUUGUCUAACCUUGUGUGGGGGACCUUCCCCUUAGAAUUGGUAUAUUUGGUAAUUGAAAUGCCUUGUACGUGAGGUGACGAGUGCGUACUUGUGCUAAUUGUUGGAAAUUCAAUUUUUUUAAGUACUUACUAGUAUGUUUCCUUUCCCGUUUCUAUUAUUUGCACUAUUAUGCAUGUUGUUAGCUUAGGAAAGCAUGUCUAAGUGACUUAAUUGCUUCAUUUGAUAUAACCGCCUUACUUGAAUUUUGUGCAUCAUGCUAGUCUAGAAUCACUUAUUGCCUUAAUAUGAAUUUUGCUAUUUCUGUUUAACUUCCUGCUACUGCUGUGUAUUUAUUUUGGGACUACGGAUGUGGGAUUCCGGUAGCUCCCCCUUGUCUGUUUACUUUGGGACUAUAGGUUAGAUUCCCGGUAGAUCCCCCUGCACAUUUACUUUGGGACUACGGGAAUGCACCCAGUAGAUUCCCCCAGUACUGGGUAUUUACAUUUGGGACUACAUAACGGGAUUCCGGUAGAUCCCCGCGCACUAUGAGUUGGACUAUGGGAUGGGAUCCCCGGAGAUCUUUCGGACAUAUAUAUGAUGGACUACAGGACGGUAUCCCGGGAGAUUCAAUGGAUAUGUAAAUAUGGGACUGCAGGACGGUAUCCUAGGAGAUCCCCGAUUGUUACUAUUGGUGUUGAGUUGUAUUUCAUUUUCCAUGUUUACCAUGUUCUGUAUAAUUGUUGUUGUUCUGUAUAUCCUAUGUUAUUUUACUGUCGUACUUAUUUAUAUUGUUCUGUCAUAUACUGUUGACCUUUAUAUUUUUUUAACCUUAGUAGGGCCCUGUCAUUCAUCGUCACUACCCAACCGAGGUUAGGCUUGGCACUUAUUGAGUACCGCUGUGGUGUACUCAUGCCCCUUCUGCACAUGUUUUUCAUGUGCAAAUCCAGGUACCGCUGAUCAGGCCUACUAUCCUUGAUGGAGGCGACUACUCUAGAGACUUCGAGGUACAUCUGCCGCGUUCGUAGACCGAGAAGGCCCUUUCUAUUCUUGCCUUUAGUAUUUAGCCCUUCUGUACUUUCUGUUCUUAUUAGACAAAUUCUGAAGUUAGAGCUAUAUAGUAUUCCUUUUCUUAGCUUGUGAUUCGUGGGUUUCCGGGUCUUGGAUUUGGAUAUUGGUUUUGAGAUUUAUAUAUGGUGUAUGUCGAGAGGCACAUUUAAACAUUGUUAUUGCCUUAUUUCUUUUUUUAAAUUGUUUACUUCCGCAAAAUUUGGUUUUUCUUCCGCAAAUUAGGCUUACCUAGUCUCUACGACUAGGUUCUAUUAUGAUGGUUCCCGGAGGGCGAACCAGGGUUGUGACAAGUUGGUACUAGAGCUCUAGCUUCAUAGGAGUCACAGAUCACAAGACGGUUUAUUAGAGUCUCACUGAUCGGUACGGAGACGUUUGUACUUAUCUACGAGAGGCUAUGUAACUAUUAGGAAAAUUUCCAUUUCAUUUGAUUUCCUUGUCGUGCGGUAUUUUCACAUCACAAUUCUAAACUUUUGUCUUCUAUUCUCUCACAGAUGGUGAGGACACGUGCUACCUGAGACGAUCAGUCACCUGCACCCCCUACUGUUGCCGUCAGAGGCAGGGGCCGGGGUAGAGGCCGAGGAUGUGCACGAGGUGCAGCUAGAGCACCUGCGCGAGCUGCCGCCAAGGUACCACCAGCGGAUCCAGUCAGAGUCCAGGCACCUGACACGCCUACUGCUACUACCACUCCAGCUAUUUAGGAGACUUUGGCACAGUUCAUGAGCAUGUACACCACAUUGGCUCAGGCAGGGUUGCUUUCCUUUUCUGCAGCUACGUCUCAGGCCAGGGGAGGAGCACAAACUCCCGCCGCCCGCACACCUAAGCAGUGAGUUCAUGUUGAGCAGGUCCCUGAGAUUAUUCAUAUAUCGCCAGCAGUGCCAGUUCAGCCCGAGGAUAGCGCAACGGCUUCCGAGGAUGAGCAGUUAAGGCUUGAGAGAUUCAAGAAGUACAAGCCCCCUGUAUUUAGUGGUCUAGCAUCGGAGGAUGCUCUGGGAUUUCUUGAUGAGUGUUACCACAUUCUCCAUACCAUGGGUAUUUCAGGAGCGAGCGAGGUUUCUUUCACUACCUUCCAGCUUCUAGGAGUCGCCUAUGAGUGGUGGCAUACCUAUGUGUUAGACUGUCCAGAUGAGGCUGCUUCACUGACUUGGACUCAGUUUUCAGAUCUAUUCCUGAGAGAGUAUGUUUCUCAGAGCCUCAGGGAUGCAUGAGGCGCAGAGUUUGAGCAUUUGCGCUAGGGCACUAUGACUGUCUCAGAGUAUGUUGUCCGUUACACCAGUUUGGCUAGGCAUGCGCUAGCCUUGGUUUCUACUGUCCGCGAGAGGGUUCGCCGGUUUAUUGAGGUCCUUAUUCCCAGCAUCAGAUCUAGCAUGGCUUGUGAGUUGGAGAUGGAUAUUUUUUAUCAGUAGGUGGUGAGCAUUGCUAGGAGGAUCGAGGGUAUGCAUGCUAGGGAGAGAGAGGCCAAGAGGUCUAGAGAGUCGGGCCAUUAUUCUAGUGCCUGUACCCCAGCUGCAGGUCAUCAUGGUAGGGGUUAUAUGAGUUGCCUUGUUUAUUCAGCUCUUCCAGUAGCCAGUAGUGCUCCAGCUCCUCCUAGGCCUCAGGAGCCUUAUUAUGCACCACCGGUAUAUAGCCCGCAUCCUGCGCGAGGUGCUUUUAGGGGUCAGUCCAAAAGACCUGGCCCUAGCUAGUCAUAGCCACCACGUCUUCCGAGAGUUUAUUUUGAGUGUGGUGAUACAUGUCAUAUGGUGAGGGAUUGCCCCAAACUUGGGAGGGGUGCACCUCCACAGACUUUUCAGCCACAGCGUGCCCCGUAGAGUUCUUAGACUAUGGUUACACCUCCAAUUGCUACCCCACCUGCUCAGCUAGCUAGAGGUGGAGGUCAGGGAGGAAGAGGUCGCCCUAGAGGGGGAGGCCAAUCCAGAUACUAUGCCCUUCCUACCCGUACCGAGGCUGUUGCCUCUGGUUCUGUCAUCACAGGUAUUAUACUGGUUUGCCACAGAGAUGCAUCGGUUCUAUUCGAUCCAGGCUCUACUUACUCUUAUGUGUCUUCUUAUUUUGCUCUGCAUUUGGGUGUACCUCGGGAUUCUUUGAGUUCCCAUGUUUAUGUUUCUAUUCCUGUGGGAGGUUCUCUUGUUAUGGACCGCAUUUAUCGGUCGUGUUUGGUUUCUCUUAGUGGUUUUGAGACCAGAGCCGAUCUAUUAUUACUCAGCAUGGUUUAUUUUGAUAUUAUCUUGGGCAUAGACUGGUUGUCACCCCAUUAUGUUAUUCUUGAUUGUCACGCCAAAACCGUGAUGCUGGCUAUGCCAGGUGUACCGCGUGUUGAGUGGAAGGAUACUUUAGAUCACACUUCUAGUAGAGUUAUUUCCUUUCUUAAAGCUCAGCGUAUGGUUGAGAAGAGGUGUGACACGUAUUUAGCUUAUGUGAGAGAUGUCAGUAUUGAUACCCUUUCAAUUCAUUUAGUUCCAGUAGUACGGGAUUUUCUCGAUGUGUUUCUAGCUGACCUUCCAGGCAUGCCGCCUGAUAGAGAUAUUGAUUUUGGCAUUGAUCUAUUACUGGGCACUCAUCCCAUUUCUAUCCCUCCGUACUGUAUGGCUCCUCCUGAGUUGAAGUAGUUGAAGGAUCAGUUAUAGGAAUUGCUUGUUAAGGGUUUUAUUCGGCCAAAUGUAUCACCUUGGGGUGCUCUUGUCUUGUUUGUAAAGAAAAAGGAUGGUUCUAUGUGUAUGUGUAUUUAUUACUGCCAGUUGAACAAGGUUACAGUGAAGAACCGUUAUCCUUUGCCUCAUAUUGAUGAUCUAUUUGACUAGCUUUAGGGCACACAGGUGUUUUCUAAGAUUGAUUUGUGCUCAGGUUAGCAUCAGUUGAAGAUUCUGGAGCCAGAUAUCCUGAAGACUGCUUUCAGGACUCGGUAUGGUCAUUACGAGUUCCUUGUUAUGUCAUUUGAGCUGACUAAUGCCCCAGCAGCUUUUACGCAUUUGAUGUACAGUAUGUCCCGGCCAUAUCUUGACUCGUUCGUCAUUGUCUUUAUUGAUGAUAUUUUGGUGUAUUCCCAGAGUCGGGAAGAUCAUGAGCAGCACCUGAGGACUAUGCUUCAGUCUUUGAGAGAGAAGAAGUUAUAUGCUAAAUUCUCGAAAUGUGAGUUUUGGUUGGAUUUAGUGGCAUUCUUAGGCCACGUGGUAUCGAGUGAGGGUACUCUGGUGGAUCCGAAGAAGAUAAAGGUCGUGUAGAGCUGGUCCAGACCAUCCUCAGCUAUAGAGAUCCGUAGUUUCCUUGGUUUGGUGGGUUACUAUUGUCAUUUUAUGGAGGGGUUUUCAUCGAUUGUAGCCCCUAUGACCAGGUUGACCCAGAAGGGUGUUGCGUCUCAGUGGACGGAGGAGUGUGAGGCGAGCUUUCAGAAGCUCAAGACAGCUUUGACCACAACCCCAAUUUUGAUACUGCCUACAAGUUCGGGGUCUUAUACGGUCUAUUGUGAUGUCUUGAGGGUUGGCCUCGGUGCGGUGUUGAUGUAGGACGGUAGGGUGAUUGCCUACCCGUUUAGACAAUUGAAGAUACAUGAGAAGAACUACCCUGUUCACGACCUUGAGUUAGCUUCCAUUGUUCACGCCUUGAAGAUUUGGCGCUAUUAUUUAUACAAGGUUCCCUGUGAGAUUUAUACUGACCAUUGAAGGUUGUAGCAUUUGUUCAAGCAAAACGAUCUAAAUUUGCACCUUAGGAGAUGGUUGGAGUUGCUAAAGUACUAUGAUAUCACUAUUUUGUGUCACCCAUGCAAAGCCAAUGUGGUGGCCAAUGCUUUGAGUCGUCGGGCAGAGAGUUUGGGGUGUUUGGCUUAUUUACCAGUAUUAAAGAGGCCUAUGGCGAUGGAUAUUCAGGCCUUAGCUAGCUAGUUUGUGAGAUUGGAUCUUUCGGAGCCUAGUCGGGUUAUAGCUUGCAUGGUUUCUCGGUCUUCCUUAUUUGAUCGUAUUAGGGAGCGACAAUAUGAUGACCUUCAUUUGCUUGUCCUCGAGGAGAAGGUUCAGCACGGUGAUGCAAGAGAUGUGACUAUUGGUGAUGCAAGGUCAGAUUUGUGUACCCAAUGUUGAGGGGCUUCAGGAGUUGAUUUUGGAGGAGGCCCAUAGCUUGCGGUAUUCCAUUCAUCCGGGUGCCAAGAAGAUGUAUUAGGAUUUGAGGCAGCACUACUGGUGGAGGCGAAUGAAGAAGGAUAUAGCUGGAUUUGUAGCUCGGUGCCUCAACUGUCAGCAGGUGAAGUAUGAGCACCAGAGACCACGUGGGUUGCUCCAGUAGAUAGAGAUUCCGGAAUGGAAGUGGGAGAGGAUCACCAUGGACUUUGUAGUUGUCUCCCACGGACUUUGAGAAAGUUCGAUGCUAUUUGGGUGAUUGUGGAUCGACUGACCAAGUCCGCUCAUUUUAUUCCUGUGUGCACUACUUAUUCCUCGGAGCAGCUGGCAGAGAUCUAUAUCCAGGAGAUUGUUCGUCUGCAUGGUAUUUCGGUUUCCAUCAUUUCAGAUAGAGGUACUCAGUUCACAUCACGGUUCUAGAGAGCCGUUCAGCAUGAGUUGGGUACUCGGGUGGAGUUGAGGACAACAUUUUACACUCAGACGGACGAACAGACCGAGCGCAGUAUUCAGAUUGUUGAGGAUAUGCUCCGUGCAUGUGUGAUUGAGUUUGGAGGGUCUUGGGAUCAGUUCUUGCAAUUGGCGGAGUUUGCUUAUAACAACAACUAUCAGUCCAGCAUUCAGAUAGCACCGUAUUAGGCUUUAUAUGGGAGGUGGUGUAGAUCCCCGAUGGGUUGGUUUGAGCCGGGUGAGGCUAGACUAUUGGGCACAGACUUAGUUCAGGACGCUUUGGAGAAGGUUAAGGUGAUUCAGGAUAGGCUCCGUACAGCCCAGUCCAGACAGAAGAGUUACACAGACCGGAAGGUUCGUGAUAUUUUCUAUAUGAUUGGAGAGCGGGUUCUGCUUUGGGUUUCGCCUAUGAAGGGCGUUAUGAGAUUCGGGAAGAAAGGGAAGUUGAGUUUGAGGUUUAUUGGCCCUUUUGAGAUAUUGAGGCGUGUUGGGAGGUUGUUUAUGAACUUUCCUUACCUCCCAGCUUGGCAGGAGUUCACCCGGUAUUUCAUGUUUUGAUGCUCCGGAGGUAUCACGGUGACCCGUCACACGUGUUGGAUUUCAGUUCGUCCAAUUGGACAAGGAUCUAUCUUAUAUUGAGGAGCCAGUGGCAAUAUUGGAAAGGCAGGUUAGAUAGCUAAGGUUAAAGAACAUUGCAUUAGUGAAGGUUCAAUGGCGGGGUCAGCCGGUUAAGGAGGCGACCUGGGAGACCGAGCAGGAUAUGCUGAGCCGUUACCCUCAUCUUUUCACUACUACAUAUAUGUCUCUAUACUCGUUCGAGGACGAACAAAUGUUUAAGUGUAGGAGGAUGUGACGACCCGGCCGGUUGUCUUAAGAAGUAACACCCCAAUCCCCUAUUAACUGCUUUCCCCAAGUUUAUUUCUGCUAAUGUGAUUUGCCGGGAUGUUGGGUUUUGCGUUUUGCUGAGUUUUGAGACACUUAGUUCCUAAAUGAGAGCUUAAGUAUUGGAAAGUUGACCGUAGUCAGAACAGUGUGAAGACGGCCUCGGAAUGGAAAUCUGAUGGUUCUGUCAGCUCCUUUGGGUGAUUUUGGGGUUAGGAACGUGUUCGGAUUAUGUUUUUGAGGUCCAUAGCUAAUUUAGGCUUGAAAUGCCGAAGGUUGAAUUUUUGAAGUUUCCGGUUCGAUAGCGAGAUUUUUAUCCGAGGGUCGGAAUGGAAUUCCGAGAGUUGCACUAGUUCCGUUGUGUCAUUUGGGAUGUGUAUGCAAAAUUUCAGGUCAUUCGGACGGUGUUUGGUUGGGUUUUUGAUCAAAACCAUAAUUCAGAAGAUUUUAGAAACUUAGGAUUGAAUCCGAUGUGUUUUGGUUGUUUUGAUGUUGUUUGAGGUGUUUUGAAGAUUGGUAUAAGUUUGAAUAGGGUUUUAGGAUAUGUUAAAGCCUUUGGUUGAGGUCCCGGGGGCCUCGGGGUGAUUUCGGAUAGUUAACGAGAAGUUGAGGAAAUGUUGCAGCUGUUGUGUUUUUGCUGCUUUUGGUAUUUUUGCAUCUGCGGUUUGGGGACCACAGAUGCGGUGCUGCAGAAGUGGCUAAGGAGAUCACAGAAGCGAAUUUUGGUCCUUUCUUCAGGUUCCGCAGAUGCGGAAGGAAUACCGCAGAAGCGGUAGCGCAUCUGCGAAAGGGAGAUCGCAAAUGCGAUUUUUGGUCAUUUAUGGAAUGUUGUAGAUGCGAUGUAGUUUUUGCAGAAGAGGAACUGCAGAUGCGGUCUCAGGGUCGCAAAUGCGGAAAUCGCUGGGCAGAACUUAUAAAUAGUUGCCUUCGCGAAUUUGAGCUACUCUUUCACCAUUUUCAUCCGGGUUUGAAGCUUUAGAGAGAGAUUUUUGAGGAAAACAAAGAGGAAUUGCUUGGAAGUAACGUCCUUGACUUCAUAACUCAUUUUAUGUGAUUAAAGACUUAAUUAGUGGUGAAGAAUUUGGGAAAAAUGGGUAAUUAGGUCUUGAGUUUAAGAGACUUUUGAAUAAGGAUUUGAGGGGUCAUUUGGACUCCGAUUUCAGUGUUCAAGUUAUGUAUAGACUCGUGAGGGUACGAGGUUUCUGAAAAUGUAAAUUUCACCCUAUUCCGAGACAUGGGCCCGAGAGGCAUUUUGGUCAUUUUACAUAAUUUCGCGUAUUAGCUUAGAAUUUAAUUGUAGAAUCAGUUACUUGAAGUGUUAUUUACAUUAUGCGAUUGAAUUAAAUAGAUUUGGGCUAUUUGGAGUCGAGUACUAGUGGUAAAGACGUGGUAUUGGGUUGAUUUUGAGCCGGUUCGAGGUAAGUGACUUGUCUAACCUUGUGUGGGGGACCUUUCCCUUAGGAUUGGUAUAUUUGGUAAUUGAAAUGCCUUGCACGUGAGGUGACGAGUACGUACUUGUACUAACUAUUGGAAAUUCGGUUUUCUUUAAGUACUUACUAGUAUGUUUCCUUUCCUGUUUCUAUUACUUGCACUAUUAUGAAUGUUGUUAGCUUAGGAAAGCAUGUCUAGGUGACUUAAUUGCUUCAUUUGAUUUAACCGCAUUAAUUGAAUUCUGUGCAGCAUGCUAGGCUAGAAUCACUUAUUGCCUUAAUAUGAAUUUUUCUAUUUCUGUUUAUCUUCCUGCUGCUGCCGUGUAUUUAUUUUGGGACUAUGGAUGUGGGAUUCCGGUAGCUCCCCCUUGUCUGUUUACUUUGGGACUACGGGUUAGAUUCCCGGUAGAUCCCCUUGCACAUUUACUUUGGGACUAUGGGAAUGCACCCGGUAGAUUCCCCCAGUACUAGGUAUUUACAUUUGGGACUACAUAACGGGAUCCCGAUAGAUCCCCGCACACUAUGAGUUGGACUACGGGACGGGAUCCUGGGAGAUCCUUCGGACAUAUAUAUGAUGGACUACGAGAUGGUAUCCCGGGAUAUUCACUGGAUAUGUAAAGAUGGGACUACAGGACAGUAUCUUGGGAGAUCACCGAUUGAUACUAUUGGUGCUCAGCUGUAUUUCCUUUCCAUGUUAGUUCUGUAUAAUUGUUGUUGUUCUGUAUAUCCUGUGUUAUUUUACUACCGUACUUAUUUAUACUGAUCUGUCCUAUACUGUUGACCUUUAUAUUUGUUUAACCUCACUAGGGCCCUGACCUUCCUCGUCACUAACCAACCGAGGUUAGGCUUGGCACUUACUAAGUACCGAUAUGGCGUACUCAUGCCCCUUCUGCGCAUGUUUUUCAUGUGCAGAUCCAGGUACCGCUGAUCAGGCCUACUAUCCUUGAAGAAGGCAACUGCUCUAGAGACUUUGAGGUACAUCUUCCGCGUCCGCAGACCGAGAAGGCCCUUUCUAUUCCUGCCUUUAUUAUUUAGCCCUUCUGUACUUUCUGUUCUUAUUAGAAAAAUUCCGGAGUUAGAGCUAUGUAGUAUUCCUUUUCUUAGCUUGUGAUUCGUGGGUUUCUGGGUCUUGGAUUUGGAUAUUGGUUUUGAGAUUUAUAUAUGGUGUAUGCCGAGCGGCACAUUUAAACUGUUAUUGCCUUAUUUCUGUUUUUAAAUUUUUUACUUCCGCAAGCUUUGGUUUUUCUUCUGCAAAUUAGGCUUACCUAGUCGUAGAGACUAGGUGCAGUCACGAUGGUUCACGGAGGGAGAAUCGGGGUCGUGACUCUAAGGCUAUCUCGACAAGAACGGUUUAAGACACUACCGAAGCUGGAUCGGCUUAUUUUGACCAAAAGUCCAAACUAUAUUUAUUUGACCAUUGACUGUUUUUCUCUUUUUUUCUAAAAAAAGGCCGAACCUUAUGUAGGUUGCCUACGUAUCCUACAUCCGGUAAGAAUCAGACCUGCAUAGUUUGACCAGCUUUGAUAUAGUAUUAACUUAUUUUGAAAUGACUCUCCUUUUCAAUUCUAUUUUUUUGAAAUUCUUUUGCAGAGUUUCGAGACAUUUCCAAAUACCGGGGAUUCAGAAUCGGGUUUUAUUUCCUUCCCUACAUCACUCUUGGUUUUUCUCUUGCUUUAUUUUCCUAGUUGGUCAGCAUACAAGUCGAAACAAAUAAAUGUUCACAUAGCACAUAGGAUGCAUCAGGAUGGUCUGUUAUUUUGGGCGCACCUAUCCUAGACAGACCCAACCCCUGUGUUGAAUUCCCUAAGUCAAAUGCACGUGAUGCAAACAAGCGUUCCUACUAGGGAUCCGGCAUAAGGGUGUCUUUUUCUAGGUUUAAAUCCUGGAGUUGUGUUCUAGACUUGGGGUUACCCGAGCGGACAACUAGGGUCGAAGAGGGGGCGAUGUACCGGGAGCACUAAAGUCUACCCGGCCUUGUCGCUGGUCCAGCCUCUUUCCAUUUGGCAUAAUUUCUACAGAAAAAGCGGGCCACGUGAACGUGUGCACCAUUUUUAGAAGACUCAGAAGGGUGGCAUAAGAAGACAGUUAUAUACAAUUCAAAUAAUAUCAAAGCGGUAAAUAGACUUCAUAGAAUACAGUAAUAUCAACAAUAAAUAAAGCCAGGUUAAAUCAUAUUAAUAAGCUCGAAUUCUUGAACCUUGAACCAUAGAUUCUGGGUUCGAUCCCCAGCAGAGCCACCAGAGUUAUCACACCUCCUUUUUACUACCCCCAUAAGGGUACAAGGGAGUUUCUUCCAAUUAAAGUGACAAUUGAAAUGAGAUUAUUUAUAUUAAAAUUAGAGUCGCCACUUGGAAUAAUUUAUGGGGUCCCAAGUCAUCGGUUUAAAAUCCCGAAUCGAGGAAAUUUGACUCUAAUUAUGGUCUGCGAACAUAGAAAUCCGGGUAAGGAAUUCUGUUAACCCGGGAGAAGGUGUUAGGCAUUCCCGAGUUCCGUGGUUCUAGCACGGCCACUUUGAUCAAGCUUGGCUUAUUAAAUUGUCUAAUUACCCAUUUUAGAACCUAUGUGCAUUUACUUCUUUUAAUUAAGAAAUUAUUUUGACACGAGUCACGCGUACGUGUACUCAUUUUGUUUGGCACAUCAAAAAUCGUGUCACGCGAACUUGUCCACAAUUAAUAACGCUUUGUUAGUAUUAAGAAAGUUUGGCCGAAGUUGCACGAACGCAUACCCCAGUUUUGUUAUUAGAAAUCGCAAUCAUAUCACGCGAACGUGUUCCCAAUCACAAUGAUAUAUUAAACGGGCCUAGAGUAACUACGAACAUUUGUCAUUUUUAUAUCUAGGUAAUGAAAUUAAUACGAGGGCCAUCUAUGAUUAAAUUGUGGAUGACACACCUCGGACUAUAUGAACUAAAAUUAUAUUAGUGGUCUAUUAAUAACAAUUUUAUUAUUAAGAAAGUUUGAUCGAAGUUGCACAAAUGCAUACUCCGACUUGGUUUUUAGAAUCGUAAUUAUGUCACGCAAACGUGUACACAAUAACAAUAGCAUUUUAAACGCGCUUAGAGGCUUUUCCACGGAUAUUCAUUUCAAAAACCGUAAUCAGGUCACGCGAACGUGUACAUAGUCACGAUAAUAAUUUCAAAAUGCACCUAAAGGUUCCCCUAUCCGGGUGUUAACGGUCUAGCAUGCUCCUAACGAUUGUAACAAAGUAAAUAAAUAAAAGAGUACUAAAAAUGUGAACAACUUAAUUAAUUUUUUUAUUUUCCCCACUCCCACGGAUUCAACAAACAUUCUGAAACUAAAAGUAAUGCCGCAGCUUGCUAAUACGCCCAAGAUUUGAUAAAAUUCAAGCUUUUUCUCAACAAAUCCAAUCAUAGACAAAGAUCAAGAACAGUUAACCUUCUUAUAUCUUCUAAAUUCAAGAGUGUAACUACAUGGAUUAUUAAAGCCAUUACGAGAGAACAAAGGAUUUCUAAGUAUUACUUAAUCAAAUUUUAUCUACAAUAUAAGGAAACCAAAUCCAAGAUAGCUACUCAAUAAAACAUCAAACAUUCAACACAAAUCCGACAUAGUAAAGCUAAGUCCAAAAUCAGAAAUGAGUCGUAUGGCGAACGAAUAUGAAACCAGCCAACAACAAAGAGAAUAGGUCAACAACAUAUUUCCAUCACAACCACGAAAGUAACAUAGCAAUUUCCAAAUUUCAAUUCGAUUUAAUCACAUCAUUAAUUUGAAUGUCAACUCAAUGUAGAUUCGAAAAGCAGUAGCUAUUUCUUUUACGCAAACCUUCAGCUCAAUAACAAUUCUAAUAAAGAGCUCCAAUCCAGAAGAAGAGAAGUAGAAUUUGUGUCAAACCCAACAAAAUAGAAGGAAAAUAUUGGCAGUGCCUCAACGACAUUUCAAUGUAUCAAAGCAACCACUCAUUAUCAAACCAAAAGCUACCAAACAAAAUAAAGUUAUUCAAGUAAUUAUCAUACACAUAACAAGGACUAAAACAAGAGGAAACAAACAUAAAUAUUAACGUGAAACAUGAUAAAAGAGGUAGAGUUUGGAAUCAGACCUUAAUAAUAUUUCCAAGAACUCAGUUACAGCAAAUUCUGGCAGUCUAAAUCUGACCGGAAAAACGAGACGAUAGUAGAAGCUUGGACUGCAGACCGUCAGCAACCUUGAAAUCAAAACGGAAUCAACCUCGGCUCAAACUGGAACCCUCUGAAUCGGUGGUCUUUGACUGAUUUUCGCGAGUUUGAUGGGAUUUGGAGUAACUAGCGGCUGUUUCGGAGAAUUAUUGUUGGAAUUCCGGCGAGCUGGGUUGGGUCCGGUGAGAGACGCAGACGGGGGCUGCUGUGUAGACCUGGUCGCCAGGGUUAUAAUGAGGAAGACGGGUUGGAUAUCUCCUAUGGUUCUUUUGUUUUCUUAUUUUUGUGAAGAUGGAGAAUAAAGGUCUAAGGCUUCUUGCAUUCUCUAGGGGUCUUCAAUAAUUUUCAUUUUAUUUUUAGGAAGAAGGAGAAUGUUCAGGGGUGGGAUUUUUGAUAGAGCGGCGGAUCCCCUGUAUCCUAGAGUCUAGGGUCUAUUUAUUUGUUAUCCUUUUUUUUGUGGAGUGUAGGGAUAUAAGUUUUGGUAGGGUUUUUUAGGUUAAGGGUUAUGGGC